AUUGAAACACCAGUUCACGUAUGAUCACCGAAGUUAAGCAGCAUCGAACCUGGUCAGUACCUAGAUGGGUGGCCGCUUGAGCGUACCUGGUGCUAUA